GCGGAAAUAGCUCAGUUGGUAGAGCAUUAGCUUCCCAAGCUGAGCGUCGCGGGUUCGAGUUCCGUUUUCCGCU
rfam:Bacteroidales bacterium 45-6 scnpilot_expt_750_p_scaffold_4280, whole genome shotgun sequence.